GGGGUAUAGCUCAGUUGGUAGAGUACUUGCCUCACAUGCACAAGGCCCUGGGUUCAAUCCCCAGCACCAUCCA
rnacentral:tRNA from 1 species